ACUCCUCAGUCAAUAUCCAAUAGCGGGACCUGGAUGCCCAUAUUGGAUCCUACAUAUUCUACGAAGAUCUUAUCGUUUGAACCUCAGUGCCAAGGAUUCAUAUAAUCCCGUAUGUCAUUCCCUUUGUCCUUCGGUAUGUUACUUGCCUGAGAUUCGAUCGUCAGUAUCCGCAUACCUAUUUCAAUCUCGUUUACCGACAAGUCUCUUUACUCGUUCUGUAAUACAAGAUCCCGCAACUUACACUAAGUCACAUUUCUUGCAAGGCUUGUGUGUGAUGUUGUAUUACCG
rnacentral:lncRNA from 1 species